rnacentral:rRNA from 1 species
UACGUAGGCAGCAAGCGUUGUUCGGAAUUACUGGGCGUAAAGAGUGUGUAGGCGGUGCUCUAAGUUUGGUGUGAAAUCUCCCGGCUCAACUGGGAGGGUGCGCCGAAAAACUGGGAAUGCUUGAACAUGGGAGAGGAAAGCGGAAUUCCUGGUGUAGCGGUGAAAUGCGUAGAUAUCAGGAGGAACACCUGCGGUGUAGACGGCUUUCUGGACCAUUGUUGACGCUGAGACACGAAAGCGUGGGUAGCAAACAGG